rnacentral:antisense_RNA from 1 species
GCCUACCGAAGAUGGAGCUCCCUCGCAGGGGGUAGCCUCCGAAGGAGAAGACGUGGGAGUGGUCAGCGGUGACGAGGCUCAGCGUGUCCUCCUCGCUGGUGAGCUGGCCCGCCCUCUCAAUGGCGUCGUCGAACAUGAUCGUCUCAGUCAGUGCCCGCCCUUGGCCCUGGGGUCGCACGUCAAUGUCCAUGUUGGAGAUGAGCUGUGUGGCGAUGUCCUUGCAGCCCUCCCGGCGGGCCGAGCAAGGCAUGUUGGCGUCCGAGUACCAGUUGCGGUUCACCGUGUGGGCGUAGGUGCCGGCUGGCGAGGCGUGCUGCACCCGUGUGGUGGUUACCACUCCCACUGACUUCCCUAAG